AAAACACAUCUAUGGUUCUGUAGAACAAUUAGCAAAAGUGUUACAAAAUCCUAAAUUUUGUGCAUCCGAUUCAAUUAAAGCUGUGGAUACAUUGAAAAAAAAUUACUAUCAUUCAGAACUAAUGACAAUUUUGAUAAGAUAUUAAAUACUGUGAAUUUACAUGCUGAAAUAUAUGUAUUAGAACCACAAGACACUAGACGCAUCCAAAAAACACCAAAACGACUUCAAUACACAAAUAACUCUGCUACAAAAUUAUCACCAAUAUGUGAAUUGAAUAAAGAUAUGUUUAAAAUAAUUGACUAUUUGAUAAAUGCAAUUUAUAGA